AGCACCUCAGCGGCCCAGUUCAGGUCCAGGACCCCAUCCUCUGACUCGCUCAGGAGGGUCCCAAUGCGGCAAGUGUCCCCCUAAGGAUACCUCCCUGACACCUUUGGACAGUGCCCAGAGGAAAGUCAGCCUAUGGCUUGGGCUGAACCUGCAGAACACAGGUGGCAGAGGACAAGCCCAGGAGGAUCAGCAUCAAGGCAGCCCCUUUGGCUGGAUCUUCAAGGCCUGGUCAGGACGCAAGCCCACCCUGCCAACCCCUAUGGAGAAGAGUACAGCUCCUUCCUCAGGCAGCUGCAGAAGUGCAGAGGGUCAGAGAUCACCAGGCACAACCCCCUUACGGGCACCACGGUGAGGAAACUGGGACUUGGGGAAGAGGAAUUGACUUGCCCAAGGUCACGCAGAGUGGAGCCUGGUCUCUCCUAAGCCCUAAGUCAGAUGGUGGGGGUAGGAGCAAAUGUAAGGGGUCGAACCUUGCUUUCAGAUCCCAGCUCUGCCACUUCGUAGCUGAACAGCCUGGGAUUCACUGUCUUGCCUCUCUGAGCCUACACCUCCUCACCUGACCUGCCUUGUAGAGUUGUGUGUUAAAAUGUUUAUUUUCUUUCAUGCCUCACAAGAGGAAAUCUGGAAAAUGUAGACAAAUUGAAAGAAAAGGAGGACCGGGCGUGGUGGCUCACGCUUGUAAUCCCAGCACUUUGGGAGGCCAAGGCGGGUGGAUCACCUGAGGUCAGGAGUUCGAAGCUAGCCUGGCCAACAUGGUGAAACCCCAUCUCUACUAAAAAUACAAAAAGUAAUCCCAGCUACUUGGGAGGCUGAGACAGGAGAAUCAUUUGAACCUGGGAGGUGGAGUUUGCAGUGAGCAGAGAUGGCGCUAUUGCAAGCCAGCCUGGGCAGAGCUUCCUGCAGGCGUGAAAGAGAAUGAUGCCAUGCGCCUGGCCAGAGGAGGCAUGCGAUAAAGGGGCAUUCCCUGAGCCUUCCUCAGAGGACUUGGAAAGAGCUCUGGACAGGGAGCCAGGAGAUCUGGGUUGUGGCCUUCAUUCUGCCAUUGAACUUGGUUGCCAUCCUUGGACAGUGCCUGAGGUCCCUUUAAACAGAAGCUCCACAACAAAUCCUGCUCACCCUGCACUUUGCAGCCCGGCCACAAAGCAAGCGGCCACACCCAGGGUUGGGUUUGGAGCUGUUCCAGGUCACGCCCUUGUAAAAUGAGUAAGCAGA